GAUGAACGCUGGCGGCGUGCCUAAUACAUGCAAGUCGAGCGAACAGACGAGGAGCUUGCUCCUCUGACGUUAGCGGCGGACGGGUGAGUAACACGUGGAUAACCUACCUAUAAGACUGGGAUAACUUCGGGAAACCGGAGCUAAUACCGGAUAAUAUAUUGAACCGCAUGGUUCAAUAGUGAAAGACGGUUUUGCUGUCACUUAUAGAUGGAUCCGCGCCGCAUUAGCUAGUUGGUAAGGUAACGGCUUACCAAGGCAACGAUGCGUAGCCGACCUGAGAGGGGGAUCGGCCACACUGGAACUGAGACCCGGUCCAAACCCCUACGGGGGGCAGCAGUAGGGAAUCUUCCGCAAUGGGCGAAAGCCUGAGGGAGCAACGCCGCGGGAGGGAAGAAGGGCUUCGGAUCGUAAAACUCUUUUAUUAGGGAAAAAAAAAUGUGUAAGUAACUAUGCACGUUUUGACGGUACCAAAUCAAAAAGCCACGGCAAACUACGU
rnacentral:rRNA from 1 species